GCUUGGGUGUCCGAUGCUUCGUGGUUAUUGGAUGCCGGGUCAGCAAAUAGUGCCCCACUUGGGGGGCCCAAUAUAACCGGAGGAACGCCUGCUGCAGUUCCCACCAUUCAAAUGCCUUGCACUACUGGGAAUUGAAAUUCAGCAAACAGGGGUCAAUUACAUUGGGAGAGCCGCGGUGCUUAUGUCCAACUUAGCAUGCUCUAAAGUGAAUUGAGGAGGCAAAGUUGUUCCCUUCUUUUGACGUAAGCUUAAAAGACAGUAGUGUUAACUCUUCAAGCCCUAAUAUAUAUUAAAGAAUUCGUGCUUUACUUAGUGCAUUAGAGUUAUGAGUAAUAUUUGUAUGCAUCUUGUCAUGCAUUAGAGCUACUAACUGAUUCCCAAUUUCCAUGCCUAUCCAUGAUCCAUGAUAUGAUUCCCCA